rnacentral:miRNA from 1 species
AACACAGAGAGGGACAGAGUAG